rnacentral:tRNA from 1 species
GCGGAAGUGGCGAAACUGGCAGACGCACCAUCUUGAGGGGGUGGCGCCUUAAUUGGUGUACGGGUUCAAGUCCCGUCUUCCGCAC